GUAGAAGAAUUGCCUUUCUUGCUGACCAAAGCCGGCCAGUUGGACAGACUUAAAAAAACAAUUACAGAUCUGGAAAUCUUCUAUAGAUUGUGGGACAAUGAGGAUGGAAUUUUUGAGUUGAUCAAAGCUUGGAAAACGCUUGGUGGAUUCGAUUUGUCAGAAGAAGCAUACAUGUCAAAGGUUCAAAAGAUACCCAAAGAGGAUAUAAUGCAAAAUUCUACAUAUUACUGCAAACUGUACAGUCGAUUGGGAAAUUUCUUUUUGGUUAUUGGAAUAAUGGAAGCAGCAAAGAAGAUUUUCAAUACACUGAUUAAACAGCUGGAGCUGAACUAUGGUGAAUCUCAUGGGACUGUGGUGUACAAUGUGCAUGAUCAUACUUGGAAAUAUCGAUGUAAACACCCGGAUGUU